ACACUUUCAUGCCUUGCUGAGCUCACAUACUUCACCAUCUACCAUUCCAAGGCCAAAAGAGCACCUGUUUCGAGCUAAAGGAUCCAAAACAACACUGCAUCAUCAACUUGCUUCAUCAUUGGUAUUUUUUCGAAUCCUUCACUUUGCCAAACUAUCACAUGAUUAAUGUAUGUCUUAACUUGCUGAGUUCAUUGAUGUUUAUAUCAUGCUAAAUGGUUGAGUGUGCUGUGAGAAAAAUGAACUUCAUUGUUUAUGCUCAAAAAUGAUUUGGCUCGAUUUGCAUUGUUGGAGUUGUUUUGAUGGAAUGUAUUGACAUAUUUGUGAUAUUGGAUGAAUGAUGAUGAGAUUGGCAUACAUAAUUUUGAUUUCUGGGCAUAAUAAUUUUUCAAGUUGCAUGAGGUUGUUGGUCUUAUGCUGUUCAUGUUCAAACAUUUUCCUGCCCAGAUUUUUUUUCCCACGAUUCUGUUUGUCUUGUUGUCAGCUGAUGAUGAUAAUGUUGUUGUUUCAUAGUUGAGUUCAUGGGAUGCUGUUUGUUUGGUUGAUACUUGAAUAUUGUUGAUGAGCUUGGUUGAAUAAGCAUGAAAACACGAUGCCCUGCUGUUUGAAAAAACUUUAAGCUUGCUUGUAAAGUCCACAUGAGUGAUGUUUG
rnacentral:lncRNA from 1 species